rnacentral:rRNA from 1 species
UACGUAGGGUGCGAGCGUUGUCCGGAAUUAUUGGGCGUAAAGGGCUCGUAGGCGGUUUGUCGCGUCGGGAGUGAAAACACCGGGCUUAACUCGGUGCUUGCUUUCGAUACGGGCAGACUAGAGGUAUGCAGGGGAGAACGGAAUUCCUGGUGUAGCGGUGAAAUGCGCAGAUAUCAGGAGGAACACCGGUGGCGAAGGCGGUUCUCUAGGCAUUACCUGACGCUGAGGAGCGAAAGUGUGGGGAGCGAACAGG